AGUAGAGACGGGGUUUCAAUGUGUUAGCCAGGAUGGUCUCGAUCUCCUGACCUCCUGAUCCGCCCGCCUCGGCCUCCCAAAGUGCUGGGAUUACAGGCGUGACCACCGCGCCCAGCCUCGGCCUCUUCUCUUUUAUUGUGUUCCUCAUCUCGCUGUGACAGACCUCGUCCAGUCCCAGGGUUAUGGGUGCCCCUCCAGGGCCACCUUUGCUACAUGAAUGCUUUCCUUGUUCUGCAUUCAAACCUUUGGUCUAAUCUGAAUUUAUUUUGGGAAGGUGUGAGGUGCAGAGCCAGCCUUAUCUUUUUCUAGGUAGCUUCCUAGAUGUCCCAACGUGAUUGGUGGAGUGAGUUAUCUCACACCCUCCUAUUAAAAUGCCUCUGAUCACAAUUGGGUCUGAGUCUGUUUUUGUACCUUCUCGUGGCUCUGUUUUCUGUUCAUGCGCCGUUAACAUGCUUUGAACUCCGCUGCUGCCCCAUUGCGUUUGCGUGGCAGGGCUGGCCUCCCCCCGUCAGUCCGGCUUUUCAGAAUUUUCCUGGCUAUUUGGCUUGUUUAUUUUUCCCUAUAAACCUUAGAUCCAGAUUGUCUUGGUUCUUCUAAAAUCUGUUGUUUUUCUUUUAAGGGAAAUUACAUUCAAUUUGUAGAUUUUCAAAGGGAGGAUCGGUUUUCUCUCUCUCUCUCUGUAUAAAUUGUGGUAAAAUAGACAUAACACAAUGUACCGUCUUAACCAUUUCGGAGUGUGUCAUUUACUGGCGUUAAAGCACAUUCACACUGUUCUGCAACCGUCACUACCAUUCAUCCCCAGAACAUCUGAUCUUCCCCAACCGAAACUCCGCACCCACAAAGCACUGACUCUCCAGAGCCUCUCCCCACCCCCGACACCUCCCAAUCCACUUCCUGUCUCUGUGCAUUUGACUCCUCUGGGGACUGCAGAUAAGUGGAAUCUCACAGUGUCUAUCUAUGACUUCCUCCUUUCACAAAGCAGAAUGUCCUCUGGGCUCACCCAGGUUCUGGAGCCAUAACGUCCUCUGGGUUCACCCAGGUUCUGGUGCCAUAAUGUUCUGUGGGUUCACCCAGGUCUUGGUGCCAUAAUGUUCUCCGGGUUCACCCAGGUUUUGGUGCCAUAAUGUUCUCUGGGUUCACCCAGGUUUUGGUGCCAUAAUGUUCUCUGGGUUCACCCAGGUUUUGGUGCCAUAAUGUUCUCCGGGUUCACCCAGGUUUUGGUGCCAUAAUGUUGUCUGGGUUCACCCAGGUCUUGGUGCCAUAAUGUUCUCUGGGUUCACCCAGGUUUUGGUGCCAUAAUGUUCUCUGGGUUCACCCAGGUUUUGGUGCCAUAAUGUUCUCCGGGUUCACCCAGGUUUUGGUGCCAUAAUGUUGUCUGGGUUCACCCAGGUCUUGGUGCCAUAAUGUUCUCUGGGUUCACCCAGGUUUUGGUGCCAUAAUGUUGUCUGGGUUCACCCAGGUCUUGGUGCCAUAAUGUUCUCCGGGUUCACCCAGGUUCUGGUGCCAUAAUGUCCUCUGGGUUCACCCAGGUUUUGGUGCCAUAAUAUUCUCCGGGUUCACCCAGGUUCUGGCAAAUGUCAGAAUUUCCUUCCUUUUCAGGGCUGAGUAAUAUUCCAUGGUGUGGAUGGGCCACAUGUUGCUUAUUCGUUCAUCUGUUCAUGAACACUUAGGUUGCUUCACCCUUUUGGCUCUUACGAAAAAUGCUGCAGUGAACAUGGGUAUGCAAAUAUCUCUUCAAGACCUUGCUUUUAGUUCUUUUGAGUAUCCCCAGAAGGGGGAUUGUUGGAUCAUAUGGUAGUUCUAUUUUUCGUAUUUUGCGGAACCUCCAUACUGUGAUUCACAGCAGCUGCACCAUUUUAUACCCCACAAACAGUGCACAAGGGUUCCGGUUUCUCCCCAUUCUCGCCAACACUUGUUGUUUUCUGAGUUUUUGAUCAUGGCCGUCCUAAUGGGUGUGAAAGGGUCUCCCCUUGUGGUUUGGUUUGCAUUUCCCCCAGUGACGACUGUGCUGAGCAUCUCUGCAUGGGCCUAUGGCCGGUGCUGAGCAUCUCUGCAUGGGCCUAUGGCCGGUGCUGAGCAUCUCUGCAUGGGCCUAUGGCCGGUGCUGAGCAUCUCUGCAUGGGUUUAUGGCCGGUGCUGAGCAUCUCUGCAUGGGUUUAUGGCCGGUGCUGAGCAUCUCUGCAUGGGCUUAUGGCCGGUGCUGAGCAUCUCUGCAUUGGUUUAUUCCUGGUGCUGAGCAUGUCUGCAUGGGCUUAUGGCUGGUGCUGAGCAUCUCUGCAUGGGCUUAUGGCUGGUGCUGAGCAUCUCUGCAUGGGUUUAUUGACCAGUGCUGAGCAUGUCUGCAUGGGCCUAUGGCUGGUGCUGAGCAUCUCUGCAUGGGUUUAUUGACCGGUGCUGAGCAUGUCUGCAUGGGCUUAUGGCAGGUGCUGAGCAUCUCUGCAUGGGUUUAUUGACCGGUGCUGAGCAUGUCUGCAUGGGCCUAUGGCCGGUGCUGAGCAUCUCUGCAUGGGUUUAUUGACCGGUGCUGAGCAUGUCUGCAUGGGCUUAUGGCAGGUGCUGAGCAUCUCUGCAUGGGUUUAUUGACCGGUGCUGAGCAUGUCUGCAUGGGUUUAUGGUUGGUGCUGAGCAUCUCUUCAUGGGCUCAUGCCCAGUGCUGAGCAUCUCUGCGUGGACUUAUUGGCCGAUUGGACGGGCACUCGGGUUAUUUCCACCUCUUGGCUUGGGCGAAUGGUGCUGCUGUGGACAUGGGUGUGCCAGUAUCUCUUUGUGUCCCUGCUUUCAGCUCUUUGGAUUAUACCCAGAAAUGGGAUUGCUGGGUCAUAUGGUAGUUCUGUUUUGAAUUUUUUGAGGAGCUGUCGCACUGUUUUCCCUGGCCCCCUGUAUGGCUAUGGCUUACCCUCCCCAGCUGUGGGCACUGGAAGCAGGCCAGAGCGUUUGCCUGAGAAUCCAGUGAGUCCAGAGCUCUGCUGCCGACCCCACCUCACUCCGACAGCCCAGUGCCCCUGGUCUCCCUGCCGGGCCCAUGGGCGUGCAGGAGCAGUGAAGCCUGGGGUCCCAUCCCCCACCCUGUGAUGGUUGUGAUGUCCUUUCCUGAGCCACAGUUCCCUCGUGUCUUUAAAAAGGGGGGGGUCAUACAGCAUUAGGAGAAAUACCUAAUGUAAAUGACGAGUUGAUGGGUGCAGCAAACCAACAUGGCACGUGCAUACCUAUGUAACAAACCUGCAUGUUGUGCACAUGUACCCUAGAACUCAAAGUGUUAUAAAAAAAGGAGGGGUCAUAAUAA
rnacentral:lncRNA from 1 species